UGUAUAGGACGUAUGGGGGGAAAAAAUGCUGUUUAAAUAAAGUGGUCAAUGAAGGCCGCAAUGGAGAAAUUGACAGUUGAGUAAAGAUGAGGCGGUGAGGACUGAAUCCCGUGGAUAUCUAGGGAAAUUUGUUGACGCAAAAGGAACGAGCGCAAAGGUCUGGAAGGAGGAACUCAACGGGUGUGUUUAAAAGAAUGUCAAGGAGGGCAGUGUGGCUGGAGAGAGUGAUUACUAGAUUACGAGAUGAAGACAGAGGGGACUGAAGAGCCUUUUGGUUUUUGGCUUUUCCUUUCGAUGAGAAGUGUGGAGAGGAAGCAUGAUCUCAGGUGGGAGAGACACCAGCUUGUCUGCUGAUGGGAAUGAUCCAGUGGAUGAUGGAGUUGGAGUUGGAUAAUCGGCAGUGAAGGCUGGGUCUCAGGAGAGCUGCUUGGUUCCCCCUCAUUCCACUGGUUUGAGUCGCCUGGGCCCGCUCCCAGCUGCCAGCCCCCUCGAGCGUUGGAAGGACAGAGGAGGGUGGUUCCCAUUUGCGCACUCAGCAGCAGAGGGUUUGGAAUAUUCCGGAAACAGAAAGGUGAGGCUGCCUACCUCCAGAUAUUUGCUCCUGCUGUUCCCUCUGCCUAGAAUGCUCUUCCCUUAGCCCUUUGGAAAGCUGGCUUCUUAUCGUUUGGGCCUCAGCCCAAGACCCCGAGAGGGGUGCCCGAGCUAAAGGAAGCUCCUGCAAAGGCCCUCCCCGAAAGCCUCUUAGCUUCGUCUCGUCUAGAGAAUCAAGACAGUACCUUGAUUCUCAUUUGUUUGCACUCUGUCGCCUGUCUCUACACUGGACUAGAAGGUGCACAGGGUGGGGACUUUGACUCUGGGGUACCCCCCCCCCCAGCACCAGAGGAGGCCCCGGCACAUAGUCAG